UCCCGCUGAGUAUUGGCUUGGUUUUUUCCCUUCUAGCCUGCAGGUGCUGAAUUCUGUGGGGUGCCAGAAGGCUAAAAGGGAAAAAACCGAGCCGACGCUUGGUGGGA